rnacentral:rRNA from 1 species
AUUGAACGCUGGCGGAAUGCUUUACACAUGCAAGUCGAACGGCAGCACGGACUUCGGUCUGGUGGCGAGUGGCGAACGGGUGAGUAACAUAUCGGAACGUAUCCAAUAAUGGGGGAUAACUAAUCGAAAGGUUGGCUAAUACCGCAUACGCCCUACGGGGGAAAGCUAGGGACCUUCGGGCCUGGCGUUAAUGGAGCGGCCGAUAUCGGAUUAGCUAGUUGGUGGGGUAAAGGCCCACCAAGGCGACGAGCAGUAGCGGGUCUGAGAGGACGAGCAGCGACACUGGAACUGAGAGACGGUCCAGACUCCGACGGGAGGCAGCAGUGGGGAAUUUUGGACAAGGGGCGCAAGCCUGAUCCAGCCAUUCCGCGUGAGUGAAGAAGGCCUUCGGGUUGUAAAGCUCUUUCGCAAGGGAAGAAAACUUAGCCUCUAACAUAGGCUGAGGUAGACGGUACCUUGAUAAGAAGCACCGGCUAACUACGUGCCAGCAGCCGCCGCGG